GCAACGAUGAAGAACGCAGCGAAAUGCGAUACGUAGUGUGAAUUGCAGAAUUCCGCGAAUCAUUGAGUCUUUGAACGCAAGUUGCGCCCGAGGCUUGACCAAGGGCAUCCCUGCCAGAGCGUCACC
rnacentral:rRNA from 1 species